rnacentral:tRNA from 1 species
GCCCAGAUAGCUCAGCUGGUAGAGCAGUGGACUGAAAAUCCGCGUGUCGCUGGUUCGAUUCCGGCUCUGGGCA